rnacentral:misc_RNA from 1 species
CUGCUGCACCUCAACUCGAACCGCUUCGCGGGGACGCUCCCAGAGUCCCUCCCCAAGAUGCGGCUCCUCCACGAGCUAGACGUCAGCAACAACCGCCUCUCGGGCGGCUUCCCGCAGCACAUCUUGUGCCUGCCCAGCGUCAGGUACGUGGACCUGCGGUUCAACGACCUGCGCGGGCUGGUGCCGCCGACGCUCUUUGACAAGCCGUUGGACGCCAUCUUCCUCAACGACAGCCGCUUUGACUUCGAGCUACCGGACAGCCUAGGCAACUCGCCGGCGCUCUUUGACAAGCCACUGGACGCCAUCUUCGUCAACGACAGACGCUUCGACUUCGAGCUGCCGGACAGCUUGGGCAACUCGCCGGCGUCCGUGCUCGUGCUGGCCAACCUGCGCCUGCGCGGCUGCAUCCCGCGCAGCGUGGGCCGCAUGGCGGGCACGCUGGCCGAGCUGGUGGCGCUCAACUCGGGCCUCCGCUCCUGCCUUCCGCAGGAGCUGGGCUGGCUGCGCGAGCUCACGAGGUUGGACCUCAGCUCCAACCAGAUGCAGGGGAUGCUGCCAGAGUGCCGGAGUCCAUGGCCGGCUUGCACGGCCUGCAGCAGCUCCACGUGGAGCGCAAUGAGCUGUGGGGCCACGUCCCCGAGGGCGUCUGUGCGCUACCCGCACUCCGCAACUUCACCUACUCGUACAACUACUUCUGCUCUGAGCCAAGCCGCUGCCUCGACGUCCUCCAGGUCGACGACCGCCAGAACUGCAUCGCCGCCAGGUUCACGAGGCGAGUCAGCAACGCUCUAG